rnacentral:rRNA from 1 species
AUUGAACGCUGGCGGCAUGCCUUACACAUGCAAGUCGAACGGCAGCACGGGAGCAAUCCUGGUGGCGAGUGGCGAACGGGUGAGUAAUAUAUCGGAACGUGCCCAGUAGUGGGGGAUAGCCCGGCGAAAGCCGGAUUAAUACCGCAUGAGACCUGAGGGUGAAAGCGGGGGAUCGCAAGACCUCGCGCUAUUGGAGCGGCCGAUAUCAGAUUAGGUAGUUGGUGGGGUAAAGGCCCACCAAGCCAACGAUCUGUAGCUGGUCUGAGAGGACGACCAGCCACACUGGGACUGAGACACGGCCCAGACUCCUACGGGAGGCAGCAGUGGGGAAUUUUGGACAAUGGGCGCAAGCCUGAUCCAGCAAUGCCGCGUGCAGGACGAAGGCCUUCGGGUUGUAAACUGCUUUGUACGGUAGCGAAAAGGACUCUCUCUAAUACAGGGGCGUCAUGACGGUACCGUAAGAAUAAGCACCGGCUAACUACGUGCCAGCAGCCGCGGUAA